rnacentral:rRNA from 1 species
UAUCUCUGUAGAGUCUGCAUAUCAAUAAGCGGAGGAAAAGAAACUAACAUAGGAUUCCCUCAGUAACGGCGAGUGAAGCGGGAAGAGCUCAAAUUUGAAAUCUUCAAGGUUCUACCUUGACGAAUUGUAGUUUAAAGAAGUGUUUUCUGUUGGAGUUUUGGUAAAAGUUCUUUGGAAUAGGACAUCAUAGAGGGUGAGAAUCCCGUAUUUGACCAUUACUUCCAGCGUUGUGAUACACUUUCAAAGAGUCGGAUUGUUUGGGAAUGCAGUCCAAAAUGGGUGGUAAAUUUCAUCUAAAGCUAAAUACUGGCGAGAGACCGAUAGCGAACAAGUACCGUGAGGGAAAGAUGAAAAGAACUUUGAAAAGAGAGUUAAACAGUACGUGAAAUUGUCAAAAGGGAAGCGUUUGACACCAGUGUUGUUUUUCUGAAAGUCAAUUAAAGAACUGUUUAUGCUAAGUUGUUUAGACUUUAUCAGCUAACUGUUUAGUUUUGAGCUUUUCUUUAAUGCACUUUUCAGUUAACAAGUCAACGUCAAUUUCUUUUGCUGUAAAAAAGCUUGAGGAAGGUGGCUUGAGAUUCGUCUUAAGUGUUUAUAGCCUCUUGCCUAUGCAGUCGGAGAGAUUGAGGUCUGCAGCGUAGAUCCUUCGGGGCUAAAUGCAUUUGUGCUAAGUUAUAGCAUUUUAUAGACAACUUGUUGACUAUGAUUUGUCUUGUAGCUUACUCGCUUAUGUUAUUUUACCUACGCUUAGGAUGUUGACGAUCAGCUGAGCGCG